AGUUUUUGCUUGAUGUCAGAGAUGAAUAAUUUGAACAUAUACUAAUUUUUCCAAUAAUUAAACUAUUAAAGCAAGGAAAUGGUACAUAUGUUCGCCCUCAAAAAAAUGAGACAUAGGUUCAUCCUUCAUACAACCACAACUUGAAGGGUGCAGAGCGAGGCGGCAAAACCUGUAAGAUGCAGCCAUGUGAAACACGAUAGAACUGCCACCACGAGAUCAAUCAACCAUCGUUGACAGAGAAAAAACCUUGACCAUCAUUUAACAUCUGUCAACGAAUCCAACCCCGCUUCUACUGAUGAUAACCAAAGAACCUUCCUUGGAAAAGGAAAAUGAUUAGAUUGUUUAUAACAGUAAUAUUUUGAUCCCGAGGACCCAAAUUCAGAGCUAUGCCAUUAUGUUUGUGCAAAACCCGUUAACACAACAUAAAACCAAAACUGGGAAACUCCUAUGCCAAACCAUUACAUCCUAAACUACUAUAUGUCAGCAUAUAACAUAUUCAUUUGGAUUCGAUGCCUUGUACAUGCCAGGUUAUGGAUACUGGUAUUUGCUUAGAUUACGCGGUACACUUCUAAAAAGCAAUAUUUCCUAGAAGCAGCAUAUGACUUUGAAGCUUUCAC
rnacentral:lncRNA from 1 species